rnacentral:vault_RNA from 1 species
UUGUCGGCUAAGCAAUGUGGAUACUUCGUAUAAACCAUUGUUGAUUUAACUCUUAGGGUAUCGUAGGGUUCUUCACUCACGCCAUUGAGUGCGUGAGGGUUCAAUCCCGCCUUACCAGCAUCCACAUGCGCAAUCCGACGAUUUU